rnacentral:lncRNA from 1 species
CUUGCAGGGUCCUUGUGAGGAUUAAAGAUCAUGCAUAAAUUCUCUGCCAACAUGAUUCUUUCCGGGCAGCUGAAAUCUCAUCUAGGACCAGUUAAGAGCCUUAAAAACUGUCAACACAGGAAAUAUAUGGCGCUGGAACCUUUGUUAUUGAUACGGCCCAUCACCUAGCACAUUGCCUUAAGAAUAUUCAUAUAAAUGGAAUGGACUACUCUCUGAAGCAAAACUACAUCAUCUUUUACAGAAAAUUUUUGCAAAAUUACAUCCUUCAGCUCCAAAAGCAGGAA